CCUACGGGUGGCUGCAGUAAGGAAUAUUGGUCAAUGGACGCAAGUCUGAACCAGCCAUGCCGCGUGGAGGAUGAAGGUCCUCUGGAUUGUAAACUUCUUUUAUUUGGGAAGAAACUCCCGAUUUCCAUCGGGAUUGACGGUACCAGAUGAAUAAGCACCGGCUAACUCCGUGCCAGCAGCCGCGGUAAUACGGAGGGUGCAAGCGUUAUCGGGUUUCAAGGGGGCGUAAGGGUGCGUAGGUGGGAAGGUUGAAACGUCCGGGCUUAACCAGGAAACUGCCAUUGAUACUAUUUGUCUUGAAUACUCUGGAGGUGAGCGGAAUAUGUCAUGUAGCGGUGAAAUGCUUAGAUAUGACAUAGAACACCCAUUGCGAAGGCAGCUCACUACGGAAAUAUUGACGCUGAGGCACGAAAGCGUGGGGAUCAAACAGGAUUAGAUACCCUGGUAGUC
rnacentral:rRNA from 1 species